UUCUAGCUUACACUUAGUUUUAAGUGAUUUAAUCACCAUAUGCUAUUGAAUAUUGUCUGUCUUUGUCUUUUUAUAAAUCAGUUUUACUUAAAACAAUACCAACACAAUAAAGUUUCAGGCUGGUUCUUACUUUUUUCAUUAUCUUGAAUAUGAGAAACUGAAACUGCAUAGAAUCAAGUAAAUUUUGAGUGAAUGUCCUGAACGGUUCAGCUGAGUCAUCUCACUUGGGCUAUUUGAUUUGAGACAUCAGGUGAUGUUAUGUUUAAUUAAUUUUUAUUAAUAGAGAGAGAUGCUAGCUUGAGGUUAAUAACAGUGUUUUCCCUGUUAUCUCCCAGUAAGUGUAGAUUUUAUUUUUAUGAGAAUAAUCUGAAACAACUGAACCUAGAGCACCUAUUCUUGUACCUUACAGUCUAGGGAGAAAAUAAAGGACUCCAGUGUCAGGUUUUAAUGGCAUGUGAAGCUGUGCUUUGGCACAUAUUUCUUUGAUAGAGUCAAUGACAAUAGUCUUGCAUCAUCUUUUCAUUUUUGAUGUCCUGUCCCUGUGGUAUUCACUCUGCUGUGCAGGCACAAGUGUUUGUGCAGCUGCAUUGAGAGCCAGACUGAUACUUCUCUAGGGGUGUCAGAGUACUAUGGUGGCAUAUUUUAAAGAACAUACUGCAGUUAGUUUCCUAAGCAAAUCCACUGUGGUCAAGGAGUAGUGCAAGUGUGGAAACUAGUGGGAGGGGGUACCUGGAAUUGGGGAUGAGAGUUGAUUAAGCCAAUUUAAGUACCUUUUGCAUUGCACGAAACCCUAGUUUCAGUUGGCUAAGUGCAUUUUAUUUUACUGCUGGUUUAUGUAUACAGUUAUGUAUGACUUUAUAGAUGAGGAUUUUUAAAGCAUGGGGAUAAUAUCUGGGGUAAAGACUACCUGAAAUAUAGAGCCGUGGAACACAAACCCUGCAGUUCCAUUCUUUUGGUUAGGGUAGGUUAAAUGUUUCAGUGGACUGGAUAUUGUGCAUCUGGCCAUUUAAACAGACCUUUUACUGUAGCAUUUACUUAGCAACUGUUGUGUUUCCUUUGCUAUUCUUGAAGAUUGUUUUUCCUGAACUACUCUUGAAGCUUUUCUUCAUAUCGAGUCAGAUCCUGUUUUGCAGGAGUAUUUAUGUUUAAACACAGGUACAUACAGCCUUCCUAAAAGAAACUUGCUUUGCACAGAUUUCUUAAAAUCAAUUAAAAAUUACGUCCAGGUAUUUUCUUUACCUGGACAUAUAAAUAAAUACAGCUUUUUGCACAAAUACCAGUUUAUUUGUUGAUUUGGACUAGGAGGUUGUAUUUGU